rnacentral:misc_RNA from 1 species
GAAAAAUUUGCCAAAGUAAACAAGCAGUACAGGCUUAGAGCAAAUUCUAGUGCCUAGUAUGUGAACCCAUAAGAAAAGCUUCACAGAUGAGAUAAAAAGUCAACUUCAUAUUCCAAUUAAAACCCAAAAUCAGAGAGUUGUUUGCUAUUAUCUUCCCCCAAUUAAAGAACCUUUGUGAAACUCUUCAAUUACAGAAAGAACAAAAGAGAAAGGCCCAAUACCCUCAAAAGUCAAAACUGAUACGCU